ACAUCGCCUACACCUUCUUAGGUGUGUCCCUCUAAAAGCAGCAGGUACCUCCGCACUUUCUCUACUGUUUCUCUGCUGGAAAACUUGAACCGUCCAGGAUGCAUCAGACCUUUUCGCUUCUUUUUCUCUUCCUUUUUACCGGGUUCUGUGUAGGAAACAUUCUUCCUGAGGGUCCUGUGGAUGUCAUUUUGGGGAAAGAUGUAACUCUUAACGUACUGUAUAAAAAGCAGGACGGUGACAUUUUUAUAUGGAAUUACAGCGACGGGAAAGUGACAAAUAAUGUAGCAACAUUGCGCCCAGGUGUUGGGUUAACGGUGGGCGAAGCCUA